rnacentral:rRNA from 1 species
UUGACCUCGGAUCAGGUAGGGAUACCCGCUGAACUUAAGCAUAUCAAUAAGCGGAGGAAAAGAAACCAACCGGGAUUGCCUUAGUAACUGCGAGUGAAGUGGCAAAAGCUCAAAAUUGAAAUCCGGUACCUUUGGUGCCUGAGUUGUAAUUUGGAGAGACAAAUUUGGUUGAUGGCACCGGCCUAGGUUCCUUUGAACAGGACGACAUAGAGGGUGAGAAUCCCGUGCCUGGCUGGGUUAUUUGCUGUCACACGCUAAAUUGUCUUCGACGAGUCGAGUUGUUUGGGAAUGCAGCUCAAAAUGGGUGGUAAAUGUCAUCUAAAGCUAAAUAUUGGCGAGAGACCGAUAGCGCACAAGUAGAGUGAUCGAAAGAUGAAAAGCACUUUGAAAAGAGAGUCAAAAAGUACGUGAAAUUGCUGAAAGGGAAGCGCUUGAGAUCAGACUCGAGCUGUGGUGAUCACCCGUGCUUCUGUGCGGUGUAACUUGCCACGGUUUGGGCCAGCAUCGGUUCUGGCGGUCGGAUAAAAGGUGGAGGAAUGUAGCUUCCCUUGGGGAGUGUUAUUUAGCCUCCACCACAAUGCGGCCAGCUGGGACCGAGGACUGCGUGGAAAUUUUCCGCUAGGAUGCUGGCGUAAUGGUCUUAAGCGACCCGUCUUGAAACACGGACCAAGGAGUCUAACAUUUAUGCGAG